GGAUAAGACGUAGUGAGAAACCUGAUGUGUGAGCAUUAUGAAAAGCCUGGAUUUACAUUUGGAUAAACAAAAAGCAUUUGGAUAAACAAAAAGCACGUGCUUCCACAGCCAAGGCGUCACGAAUCUUCCCGAAGGAGCCACUGCGACGCAGAGACCCGUUACCGUCCUGGGGAGAGACCAAAUGGAAAACCAGAGUCGUCGCCCUCGCAGUCCCCCCGUUGCCCCCCUGACCCGGCGACACCUUCCCUGCUCAGCCGUCUGUCGCCCCCUCCAGCUCCCCCGUCCUUCAGGAGCUCCACCACUUUACUCUGGUUAAUGGCAUCAAUACCCUGAGGGAGGAGCAGGAGGAAGAGGAGGGAGACACAGACACAAAGAGACAGAGAAAAACAAAGACAGUGGGAAAGUGAUUAAGACAGACAGAGGAAGAAAACAAAGAGGGUGAACGGGGAACGGGGAAGAGGGUGGGAAAGUUUGAAAAAUGAUGGGCUUUUGUACAAUGGCUACCAGCAUGUGCACUGCUUGUAAAGUUUUCUGUAACAGAGAGCACAAACAUUUGUGAUGGAUUCAUGAGUCAGUCUGGCAUGCUUUAUUUAUAGGCUAAUAAAAAACGGUUGGCAUGCCUGUUAACCAAAAGGGCCCAGACUACUAAUCUAACAGCAGUAAUUUAACUGGAGAGCUCUGCUGGAGAGUGUGUGUAGUACCUGUUU